UAGGGGAGAUGGGGCUCGGAGCCCCUCCCUGAGCCUAGGGUAACUCUUAAGGUAGAGGGGAA
rfam:Tupaia chinensis contig173378, whole genome shotgun sequence.